rnacentral:tRNA from 1 species
AAGAUUCUAGUUAAAAUAAUAAUAUAAAUUUGUCAAAUUUAAGAUAUUUCUAAUGAACCUUU